AUGUGCAGCAGAAAGAAAGUAAUCUUACUAAUGUGGUGCUGGUGGUCUAUGAGAAAUAAGAUGAAUGCAGGGGAGAGAAAAAAGAGUGCCCAGGAAGUGGUUAAUGAUGUCAUGUUCCACAUGCAGGCCUGGAACUCUGCUGUCCAAGGUAACACUUGUAAAGUUCAGAAGGACAGCAAACCAAAAUGGAGAGCUCCUCCGGAGGAUUUUUAUACUAAAAUAAAUUGUUAUGGGGCAUUCUUCUCUGAUCUUAAUAGAGGUGGUUGGGGCUUUGUUAUACGUGAUUCUGAUGGGCAAGCUGUGGCCGCAGGUGCAGGUCUGGAAGAGCAUUUGAUAAAUGCACAACACUCUGAAACUGUGGCUUGUUUGAAGGGCAUUGAGUAUGCUGCAGCUAUGGGCAUUCAACGUAUCAUUUUGGAGACUGAUGCAUUGUUAGUGGCUAAUGCAAGCACUAUGUUUAGAGAAAUCAGAGUGAGAAUGCUAUCUGAUUUUGUUGAGUGUUGUGUUUCUCACUGCCCUCGGGCUUGUAAUUCAGUUGCUCAUACAGUAGCUGCGUAA
rnacentral:rRNA from 1 species